rnacentral:Y_RNA from 1 species
GGCGGGUCCGAGUGCAGUGGUGUUUACAGGUAAUUGAUCACAACCAGUUAUAGAUUCGUUUUUUUCUCACUCCCAUUGCUUCAUUUGACUAGCCUUAA